GACGAAAACCUUACCCACCUUUGACAUGGCAGGAACUUACCAGAGAUGGUUUGGUGCUCGAAAGAGAACCUGCACACAGGUGCUGCAUGGCUGUCGUCAGCUCGUGUCGUGAGAUGUUGGGUUAAGUCCCGCAACGAGCGCAACCCUUGCCAUUAGUUGCUACGAAAGGGCACUCUAAUGGGACUGCCGGUGACAAACCGGAGGAAGGUGGGGAUGACGUCAAGUCCUCAUGGCCCUUAUAGGUGGGGCUACACACGUCAUACAAUGGCUGGUACAAAGGGUCGCCAACCCGCGAGGGGGAGCCAAUCCCAUAAAGCCAGUCGUAGUCCGGAUCGCAGUCUGCAACUCGACUGCGUGAAGUCGGAAUCGCUAGUAAUCGUGGAUCAGAAUGUCACGGUGAAUACGUUCCCGGGUCUUGUACACACCGCCCGUCACACCAUGGGAGCGGGUCUCGCCAGAAGUAGGUAGCCUAACCGCAAGGAGGGCGCUUACCACGGCGGGGUUCGUGACUGGGGUGAAGUCGUAACAAGGUAAGCGUAGUGCU
rnacentral:rRNA from 1 species